rnacentral:tRNA from 1 species
UCCCCGGUAGCUCAGGGGUAAAGAAUCUGCCUGCAGUGCAGGAGAUGCGGGUUCGAUCCCUGUGUGAGGAA